rnacentral:rRNA from 1 species
UACGAGGGGGGCAAAUGUUGUUCGGAAUCACUGGGCGUAAAGGGAGCGUAGGCGGGUUUCUAAGUCAGGUGUUUAAUCCCGGGGCCCAACCCCGGACAGGCACUUGAAACUGGGAAUCUUGAAUAGUGGAGAGGUCAGUGGAAUUGGGGGUGUAGCGGUGGAAUGCGUAGAGAUCCCCAAGAACACCCGUUGCGAAGGCGGCUGACUGGACACAUAUUGACGCUGAGGCUCGAAAGCGUGGGUAGCAAACGGG